GCAGCGGUGCCGGGACUUGUAGUCGCCACGGCGACCUCGGGCCGUCCGGGCCCGGGCCCGGGCUGGCCCGCCGUGGCGGCCAGGACACCCGUUACACAAGGCGAUGGCUGCGCCGUUAGCCCUGGGAAAGGACAGCCGCGGAGAUGAUCGUCCCCGGGGCCACCUAAGCGCCUGUUCGGGUCACCUGCACCCACAGAGGCUGAGCCUCAGCUACCUGCACUUGCAAGGAACCCUGUACCUUCAGUACUGCCUUUGCCACUGAAGAAGAUGUCUUUUGAAGCCAGCCAACGCCAUGUAUUAAAUGUCAGUGCUGUCCCUCCAAGCCACAGCAGCCUGCCUCACUCAUUUCCUGAUUAAAAAAAAACCCAAACAACCAACAGCUUUUGAAAUUGGUUUGGUUUGGGUUUGUUUUCUUUUUCUGCAGAGGAGGAAGAGAAGGGGAAGAUUUAUGAGAGCUAUUAUGAGGAGCCUGAUUUUCAGCACUCCUAGUUUAAAAGGACUCUUUUUUUUCUUCCUAAUACCCCCUUGCUUUGCUGGACACAAAAUCACCCUGUCAGCCCCAGAUCAGGACAUUACGACGACUGUGCUAUUUUAAGCAUCAUUAAGGGGGGGAAAAAAAGAAGGCAAUUACAUUUCUGAAAUUGUAUUGUUGUUUUAAUAAGAUGUUACUAAGAAGUUGUUAAACGUUAGGGCUCUUUAAAAUACUUGUGCUUUGA